CCAUUGGAAAAUCUUUAUUUGCAACUGGCAAAUUUGUUAUUUUGGUUGUCUGUAUACAUAAAUUUACCAUGCAAUUUAAGCAACUGGCAAGUAGCAUGCUCAGUUGUUUCUAUUUGAUGUUGCAGCAACGGUGGAUUUUGUGAAGAGUGGUCGCCGUUUGCAAUCGCUAGACGACGCUCCGAGUAAAAGAGCCUAUGCUUCAAGAACCUGACGAUGGAGAAAGCUUCAGUGGUUUAAAGCUGUCGAUUCAAAAGCGGACUCUUCGAAUCAAACAGCGUUUAUGUGAUCGAUGAUGAAAUUCUGCUCAACUGAACUCCAGAGCUGCUGAGAUAUCAUCCAUCUCAGUUGCACAAUUCGCUUCCAAAUUGAUAAACAGCUUCAAGAUGUAUCUCAAGCAAUAUCUCCGUUGCUUCAUCAUUUAUCAGUAGAACGAUUAGACACAACUCCUACCAUUUAUUGAGUUCUCGUACAACAACACAGUUCACGGUUCCAUGCAACAAACAUUUUUCUUCUUUCUCCAAUACUACCAUCCACGAUGGACGUUUCAUGAAUCCGUUUCUCUACUGGCCAAUUUUUCUACCACAAACCGGUCAACUUAACUCCAACACAUUCAUCAUGAUCUCCAAGAACAUUUCCUCGAGGCUCAGAAACGUCACAAACUCGCCUCGCCUCAUGGCUCCUAAGUAAAAGGUUGGUGAUUAAGUUUGGUUAUUGCGGUGCAACAUUCAAACUACUCGUCCAUCUGGUAAAUUCGACUAUCAAUGCCUCGGUUCCUUCCAAAUCUCUGCUCGCAUUCAUGAAGUUGCAUAUCAACUGGAUCUUCCUCCGAGUAUGUGCCUCCAUCCUGUCUUUCAUGUUUCCCUGCUCGAACCAUACGUCACCAAUGAUAUUCCAAGUCGAGUCAUCCCACCAGCUCCCGAAGUCCAGAUUGAUUGUCACCCCAGUAUGAAGUUGCUGAGAUCCUCGAUUCUAAGAUCCUUCGACAUCGGAUGUACUACCUCAUCGACUGGGUUGGUUACUCUCCAAGAGAUUGGACAUGGGAACCCUCGCAAAGUAUAGUAAAUUCUUCAGGUAAAUUUUCUGACUUCCACGGCCGUGAACAAAGUCAUGGGAACGUUGCAGGGUCACGAAAUCCCAAAGGGCCAGGCCAAGAUCGAGCAGUUCAUGGAUUCCUCCCACGCAAAGAUCACCAAGCUCGUCAAGGGAUACUUGGACAAGUAUGUGUCGUGAUGUUUUGACAAUGGUUGGAAGCCGGAAGAUUGAUUUCUCAACAGAUUGUACUAUGUAAGUCUAUAAGUAUCAAUAGCUAACAUUUAAGGUACGCGCA